UUCUCCUCCAACUGCAAAGUUUUAUUCUCAAUGUGUAGCAAUCAUCAAAUACUGUAAGUGAAUCUAAACUCACCAACUUUAGAAUUCUUUAAGCUUUCAAUUGUAGCGAUAUAAUAAAAAAAUAUCGAUUUUUUUUUGUGAAGUAAUGGAUGGAGUUAAUGUCAAUGAAUAGUAGUAACUCAAUGACUAUGUGGUAGUAUCUCUAAUUUAGUUGAAAGGAGUGAUUUGUAUGGUCAGAUUACUUAUUCAAUACAUGGGUUUUUGAUUUCUCUAUAGAAAAACAGAAUGAAUGUGUUUUCUGUGAGGAGAAAACAACCUAAUUUCAGAAUACUCUUUUUAAAGAUUAGAGUAAGAAAGAUUCAAAAUUGGGGAAGCUUUCUGCGAUUCGGAUAAUGAAGAUGAUGAUAAUUCAUAGGAGCAAGUGGAAAAUGUUUGAAUUGGUUGAGGGAAAUGAGUCUGGUGAAGAAAAUUCAAGUAUGGAGAUCUUUCAAGUAUAUGAACAUAAUUUGAAGGUUGAAAGGGGGUUGCGAGAUAAAGGAGUAACCGAAGUUCGGAGAUAACUAUUGGAAGAUGGAUUGAAGACCAGGGAAGGAUGGUAGAUUCUGUUUUUAGUGAGUCUAGGGAUACUGUUAUUCCAGGAAAGGUCGCGACUACAAGAAAACUGGUGUUGUUGGAAAGCUUUAGAUGGAAUAAGGAUGACUGGGAAGAAGAAUCUGGUCUGAAUGAAGGCAAAGCAGAUAUGCAUAAGCAACGUCUGAUUCAAGACGAUUUUCAGGUAAGCUUUAGUCGUGCUAGUGAUGCGGUUGGGACGACUGAUUAUUCUCCCUUUGGAAAGUGUAGGAUGAGAAAUGAUAAAGUUUAUAGGCGGAAUGUAGAUAUGGAUCCAAGUUAGUGCACAAUAAAUCGUAGUUGGACUCGUAGUAAGGAAUACUAUGGAAGUAAUGCUGAAAGAGGAGGGGGUGAGAUUAUGCAUGAUAGAGGAGUGCAAAAAAAUGAGUACUUUCCUGUGAGUUAUUAUGAAUGGAAGAUUGACGGGACAAAGAUGUCUAGAAGUGUUUAUAGGAGAAAUCCCAAUGAAAAUCGAAGUCCUGUGUUGAUAGAGCAACAUGGUCCUAGCAGCAUAAGUAGCUCAUCAGGCAAUUGGAAGUUUAUAAGGGAAAAACUCGUCAAAAAUGAGGAUGAUUGGAGUAUUGCGGAGACAGGAAGUUCUGCCUUCAAGUCGUUGAGGAAUUCACUGAUGUUAAACGCAUGCCCCGAGCUCAUGGCACAAAAUGGAGGAGCAAAUCCAAAAUCUAGCAAAGUGAGUUUCUCUUUUCAGACUGAAUGGUGCAGACAUCAUUUUGCCUGAGUGGAUGUUUUCUAAGAUAUGCGGAGUGCAAACGUCAGGUUCACGGAUCCUUCUUUUUUGAAGGUUAUUCAGGUGUUGGGUAGAUUUGGAAACUGGUGACGGAUGCUACAAGUCAUCGAGAGGUUUCAACUGUGUGAGCGUUCCAAGACCCACAAACCUGACAACAACGAUCUUCAUAUCCCAACCUUGCAGGUUAUCAUUGUAUUGCUGUCACCCUUUGGGCAAGCAGGACAAAUGAAGGAACUAUAAGAUGUCAUAGAAUGUGUGCAUUCUCCUCCUCCCAAAGAAGUGCAAACUGGGGGAGUUUGAUGAUUAGGAUCCAUGGUUGGAACCAGUUCAUGUUUUCUAUAAUGCUGCAACCAAUUGAGCUUGGAAUCCUUUUAGAUGGAUCAUGGAAUGAUGAUGAUCACUUGUGUUUUCAAAGAAUGCACCAAUUUCUUACAUUCAUUUCUUGUAAAUACUUUUUGGAAAGAAGGGAUGAGGCUGUGGCUGCAAUUAAAAAUAUGGAGACACGAGGACUCAUGGGUACUACUAGUCUUUAAUAUGAUCUUGCACUAUGUCUCUGUAGUGCAGACUGAAGACCAGAUGAGAAGAAACACUGAUGCAGAGAAGAAAUUGGAAGAUUUUACUUUUAUAUAUCAGCAGAUGUUGCAUCCUAGGUGCCACUUCAACACAAGGCGUCACAUAAUGCUCUUGGAGGCUUGUAGAGCUGGAAAGGGUGAAUUACUUGGAAACACUUGACUCAAGCAAAUAGAGUUUUACCUACUCCCAUCAUCAAGGGAGAGACUUUGUAUGGAACUGGAGAAAAAUGACAUUCCCGGAGCCAUCUCCUGCAUAACUAGUACAAGUCUAACAACAAGUGAACUUUAUGCUUUCUCUGAGAAGGUUAGGUUGUAUUUACUCAAUAACAAUUCAAAUAGAUUUCAAAAGGAUACUCUUAUUAGUUCGAUUCGUGAAUUGAACAAUAUUGAUGCUGGAAGUGAUUGGUCGAACCCAAA